rnacentral:rRNA from 1 species
UUACGGUCAAAUCACGCUGAAACACCGGUUCUCGUACGAUCACCUAAGUUAAGCAGCGUAGAGCCAGGUCAGUACUUAGAUGGGGGACCGCCUGGGAACACCUGGUACUGUAAG